ACAAUGGGCGCAAGCCUGAUGCAGCAACGCCGCGUGCGGGAUGACGGCCUUCGGGUUGUAAACCGCUUUCAGUUCCGACGAAGCGCAAGUGACGGUAGGAACAGAAGAAGGACCGGCCAACUACGUGCCAGCAGCCGCGGUGAUACGUAGGGUCCGAGCGUUGUCCGGAAUUAUUGGGCGUAAAGGGCUUGUAGGCGGUUUGUCACGUCGGAAGUGAAAACUCAGGGCUUAACCCUGAGCCUGCCUCCGAUACGGGCAAACUAGAGGAAUGCAGGGGAGAAUGGAAUUCCUGGUGGAGCGGUGGAAUGCGCAGAUAUCAGGAGGAACACCGGUGGCGAAGGCGGUUCUCUGGGCAUUUCCUGACGCUGAGAAGCGAAAGCGUGGGGAGCAAACAGGCUUAGAUACCCUGGUAGUCCACGCCGUAAACGGUGGGCACUAGGUGUGGGGAACAUUCCACGUUCUCCGUGCCGAAGCUAACGCAUUAAGUGCCCCGCCUGGGGAGUACGGCCGCAAGGCUA
rnacentral:rRNA from 1 species